rnacentral:rRNA from 1 species
UACGUAGGCAGCGAGCGUUGUUCGGAGUUACUGGGCGUAAAGGGCUCGUAGGCGGUCCAUCGCGUCGGGAGUGAAAAGCUGGGGCUUAACCCCAGUCCUGCUUCCGAUACGGGUGGACUAGAGGUAGGUAGGGGAGAACGGAAUUCCUGGUGUAGCGGUGAAAUGCGCAGAUAUCAGGAGGAACACCGGUGGCGAAGGCGGUUCUCUGGGCCUUACCUGACGCUGAGGAGCGAAAGCAUGGGGAGCAAACAGG